rnacentral:rRNA from 1 species
UUUAAAUUGCUGUAGUAUUUUGACUAUACAAAGGUAUUGUAAUAAGACUUUAAUUGAGUGCUAAAAGAAUGGAAUUUCAAAAAAUCUCUUUCUUAAUUUUAAUAAUUGAAUUUAUUUUUAUUUGUGAAGAAACAAUAAUUUUAAUUAAAGACAAGAAGACCCUAUGAAUUUUUAUUUUAAAUAAGUAAUUAUUUACUUAUUUAAAAUUUAAUUGGGGCGAUAUAAAAAUAUUUUUAACUUUUUUAAAAAAAAAAUAUGAACCAUUAAUAAUGAUAAUUUGAAUAAAAUACUCUAGGGAUAACAGCGUAAUAAUUUUAGAUAGAUCUUAUAGAUAAAAUAGUUUGCGACCUCGAUGUUGGAUUAGGAUUAUAUUUUAAUGAAGAAGUUAAAAU